CUUGCCUUGGUUUAAGCUACCAGUCUGUCCUUUGUCUUUGCUUCAGAGCUUCCAUUAAGGCAAUGAAAAUGUCUUAACCCAGGUGCAACUCUCAGAGCCAGUGAGAAUGCCAACUUUUAAUGUCCCUGUGUCGGACCCCUAUGGGGAAACUUAUUGACUCGGUCAAUACCUUGAAGCACCUUAUAGUUUUUAAGCCUAACACCAUUGUCUCCACCAGAGCUGAAGAUAUGAGGACCCAUCCCAGCCCAUUAUAACCAGACACACUCCUUGGCAGAUCAGUAAACGGACUGACACUGAAAACGCUCCAAUGACAGAAAAUGCUCCUGAGCUACUCAGGAUGUGGAUCCUUGCUGGACAUUUUUAAAACCAGGACCUGGUGUGGGUUUCUUGAAUAGUUGUCAGAAUGAAAUAAUAAUGCUCUGUAUUUGCAAUUGUGGGAUGUCAGUUCUUUUGAGGGCUAUCUCUGCUGACAUCCUCUCUGGCCAUUGAAAAUAAAGCCUCUGAUUUUGCCAU
rnacentral:lncRNA from 11 species